rnacentral:rRNA from 1 species
GAUGAACGCUGGCGGCGUGCUUAACACAUGCAAGUCGAACGGGAAUUAUUUUCUUGUAACUUCGGUCGGUUUAAUUUACUUCUAGUGGCGGCCUGAUGAGUAACGCGUUGGUAACCUGCCUUCUACAGGGGGAUAACAGUCAGACAUGGCUGCUAAUACCGCAUCAGCGCACAGAGCUGCAUGGCUCAGUGUGUAAAACUCCGGUGGUAUGAGAUGGACCCGCGUUGGAUUAGCUUGUUGGCAGGGUAAUGGCCUACCAAGGAGACGAUCCAGAGCCGGCAUGAGAGGCUGAAAGACCACAACUGAGAUAAGGCACAGACCAGACUCCUACGGAAGGGAGGAGUGGGGAAUAUAGCAGAAUGGGGGAAGACCUGAUGAAGCGACGCGGGGUGAAGGAAGAAGUAUGUCGGUAAGUGAACUUCUAUCAGAAGGGGAGAUAGUGACGGUACCGGACAAAGAAGCACCGGCUAACUACGUG